rnacentral:sRNA from 1 species
GGAAGGAUGAGAAGCUUCGACUAAGGUUCGACUUGAGCGCCAGCGAGAGAGCGUUGCCGCAGGCAACGACCCGAAGGGCGAAGCGCGCAGCGCUGAGUAAUCCUUCCCCCACCACCA